GCGCAGGCCUGACCCAGCAACGCCGCGUGAGGGAAGAAGGCUUUCGGGUUGUAAACCUCUGUCCUUGGUGACGAAACAAAUGACGGUAGCCAAGGAGGAAGCCCCGGCUAACUACGUGCCAGCAGCCGCGGUAAUACGUAGGGGGCGAGCGUUGUCCGGAAUUACUGGGCGUAAAGGGUGCGUAGGUGGCCUUUUAAGUUGGAUGUGAAAUACCCGGGCUUAACCUGGGGGGUGCAUCUAAUACUGGGAGGCUAGAGUGCAGGAGAGGAAAGCGGAAUUCCUAGUGUAGCGGUGAAAUGCGUAGAUAUUAGGAGGAACACCAGUGGCGAAGGCGGCUUUCUGGACUGUAACUGACACUGAGGCACGAAAGCGUGGGGAGCAAACAGGAUUAGAUACCCUGGUAGUCCACGCGGUAAACGAUGAAUACUAGGUGUAGGGGGUAUCAACUCCCCCUGUGCCGGAGCUAACGCAAUAAGUAUUCCGCCUGGGGAGUACGGCCGCAAGGUUG
rnacentral:rRNA from 1 species